AGCAGUGGGAUUUUUGCCCAAUGGCGAAAGCCUGAUGCAGCGACGCCGCUUGAGGGAUGACGGCCUUCCGGGUUGUAAACUUUUUCAGCAGGAAGAAGCGAAAGUGACGGUACCUGCAGAAGAAGCGCCGGCUAACUACGUGCCAGCAGCCGCGGUAAUACGUAGGGCGCAAGCGUUGUCCGGAAUUAUUGGGCGUAAAGAGCUCGUAGGCGGUCUGUCACGUCGGAUGUGAAAGCCCGGGGCUUAACCCCGGGUCUGCAUUCGAUACGGGCAGACUAGAGUGUGGUAGGAGAGAUCGGAAUUCCUGGUGUAGCGGUGAAAUGCGCAGAUAUCAGGAGGAACACCGGUGGCGAAGGCGGAUCUCUGGGCCAUUACUGACGCUGAGGAGCGAAAGCGUGGGGAGCGAACAGGAUUAGAUACCCUGGUAGUCCACGCCGUAAACGGUGGGAACUAGGUGUUGGCGACAUUCCACGUCGUCGGUGCCGCAGCUAACGCAUUAAGUUCCCCGCCUGGGGAGUACGGCCGCAAGGCUAAAACUCAAAGGAAUUGACGGGGGCCCGCACAAGCAGCGGAGCAUGUGGCUUAAUUCGACGCAACGCGAAGAACCUUACCAAGGCUUGACAUCGCCCGGAAAGCAUCAGAGAUGGUGCCCCCCUUGUGGUCGGGUGACAGGUGGUGCAUGGCUGUCGUCAGCUCGUGUCGUGAGAUGUUGGGUUAAGUCCCGCAACGAGCGCAACCCUUGUUCUGUGUUGCCAGCAUGCCCUUCGGGGUGAUGGGGACUCACAGGAGACUGCCGGGGUCAACUCGGAGGAAGGUGGGGACGACGUCAAGUCAUCAUGCCCCUUAUGUCUUU
rnacentral:rRNA from 1 species